CAUGUAGGCGGUUUUUUAAGUCCGGAGUGAAAAUGCGGGGGCUCAACCCCGUAUGGCUCUGGAUACUGGAAGACUUGAGUGCAGGAGAGGAAAGGGGAAUUCCCAGUGUAGCGGUGAAAUGCGUAGAUAUUGGGAGGAACACCAGUGGCGAAGGCGCCUUUCUGGACUGUGUCUGACGCUGAGAUGCGAAAGCCAGGGUAGCGAACG
rnacentral:rRNA from 1 species